UUGAAAAUCUGAAUAAAAACGAACUGGAUAAAUCUAAUGUCCAGAGAAAAUGGGUGUAUGAAGAAAUAGCCAGCAUUUCAUCAGAGAAGAGUAAAAAUCCUGCGUCGUCACCUCACACAAUUGUCGCUACCUUAACUGAAGUAGGAUCUAAUGCUGCACUUAACUUUCUGUUUGCAUUUUUCCGUCGCGUAUGGCAAUCAGGCGAAGAGGGGGUUGCCUGGUUUGAGAUGCUGAUUCACGCACUAGAAUCACAUCGCAGUUGACCUCUCGCGUCUAUCUUUCACCUUCUACAUCAAGUGGAUAAUAG